AAAGUCGUAACAAGGUAACCGUAGGUGAACCUGCGGUUGGAUCAUUAACGAUUCGUGCCCUGACAAAGGGUCGAUCUACACCUGUGAACCGUAAACGCGAGGUCGUGCUUCGGUGCGGCCUCCCGUGAACACACCACUUGCAACAUUGACUGAAUCAUCACAAAAGUGAUAACAAAAAAACAACUUUCGACAAUGGAUCUCUUGGCUCUC
rnacentral:misc_RNA from 1 species